UACAGAGGUCCCAAGCGUUGUUCGGAUUCACUGGGCGUAAAGGGUGCGUAGGCGGUCGCAUAAGUCUGAUGUGAAAUCUCGGAGCUCAACUCCGAAACGGCAUUGGAUACUGUGCGGCUUGAGGUUGGGAGGGGGGACUGGAAUUCUCGGUGUAGCAGUGAAAUGCGUAGAUAUCGAGAGGAACACCAGUGGCGAAGGCGAGUCCCUGGACCAAUCCUGACGCUGAGGCACGAAAGCCAGGGGAGCAAACGGG
rnacentral:rRNA from 1 species